AAUCAACGCUGGCGGCGUGCCUCAGACAUGCAAGUCGAACGCGAAAGUUCCCUUCGGGGGAUGAGUAGAGUGGCGCACGGGUGAGUAACACGUAGGUAAUCUACCUUCGGAUGGGGAAUAACAACCGGAAACGGUUGCUAAUACCGCAUAAUGCAGCGGCACCUAAUGGUGACAGUUGUUAAAGCGGGGGAUCGAAAGACCUCGCGUCUGAAGAGGAGCCUGCGGCGGAUUAGCAGUUGGUAGGGUAACGGCCUACCAAGGCUACGAUCCGUAGCCGGCCUGAGAGGGGCGGUCGGCCACACUGACACUGACAUACGGGUCAGACUCCGUACGGAGGCAGCAGUCGGGAAUUUUGGGCAAUGGGCGAAAGCCUGACCCAGCAACGCCGCGUGAAGGAU
rnacentral:rRNA from 1 species